AACGAACGCUGGCGGCAUGCCUAACACAUGCAAGUCGAACGAGACCUUCGGGUCUAGUGGCGCACGGGUGCGUAACGCGUGGGAACCUGCCCUUAGGUUCGGAAUAACUCCCCGAAAGGGGUGCUAAUACCGGAUAAUGUCUUCGGACCAAAGAUUUAUCGCCUUUGGAUGGGCCCGCGUUGGAUUAGCUAGUUGGUAGGGUAAAAGCCUACCAAGGCGACGAUCCAUAGCUGGUCUGAGAGGAUGAUCAGCCACACUGGGACUGAGACACGGCCCAGACUCCUACGGGAGGCAGCAGUGGGUAAUAUUGGACAAUGGGCGGAAGCCUGAUCCAGCAAUGCCGCGUGAGUGAUGAAGGCCUUAGGGUUGUAAAGCUCUUUUACCCGGGAUGAUAAUGACAGUACCGGGAGAAUAAGCUCCGGCUAACUCCGUG
rnacentral:rRNA from 1 species